rnacentral:rRNA from 1 species
CGAUCGAGACCCCAGGUCAGACGGGACUACCCGCUGAGUUUAAGCAUAUCAAUAAGCGGGGAGAAGAAACUUACAAGGAUUCCC